UACGUAGGUCCCGAGCGUUGUCCGGAUUUAUUGGGCGUAAAGCGAGCGCAGGUGGUUUAUUAAGUCUGGUGUAAAAGGCAGUGGCUCAACCAUUGUAUGCAUUGGAAACUGGUAGACUUGAGUGCAGGAGAGGAGAGUGGAAUUCCAUGUGUAGCGGUGAAAUGCGUAGAUAUAUGGAGGAACCCCGGUGGCGAAAGCGACUCUCUGGCCUGUAACUGACACUGAGGCUCGAAAGCGUGGGGAGCAAACAGG
rnacentral:rRNA from 1 species